rnacentral:tRNA from 1 species
GCAGUGGUGGUUCAGUGGUAGAAUUCUCGCCUUCCAUGUGGGAGACCCGGGUUCGAUUCCCCGCCGAUGCA